AACGAACGCUGGCGGCAUGCCUAACACAUGCAAGUCGAACGAGACCUUCGGGUCUAGUGGCGCACGGGUGCGUAACGCGUGGGAACCUGCCCUUAGGUUCGGAAUAACUCCCCGAAAGGGGUGCUAAUACCGGAUAAUGUCUUCGGACCAAAGAUUUAUCGCCUUUGGAUGGGCCCGCGUUGGAUUAGCUAGUUGGUAGGGUAAAAGCCUACCAAGGCGACGAUCCAUAGCUGGUCUGAGAGGAUGAUCAGCCACACUGGGACUGAGACACGGCCCAGAAGCCUACGGGAGGCAGCAGUGGGGAAUAUUGGACAAUGGGCGAAAGCCUGAUCCAGCAAUGCCGCGUGAGUGAUGAAUGCCUUAGGGUUGUAAAGCUCUUUUACCCGGGAUGAUAAUGACAGUACCGGGAGAAUAAGCUCCGGCUAACUCCGUG
rnacentral:rRNA from 1 species